rnacentral:rRNA from 1 species
UGGGGAAUUUUGGACAAUGGGCGCAAGCCUGAUCCAGCCAUGCCGCGUGCGGGAAGAAGGCCUUCGGGUUGUAAACCGCUUUGUCAGGGAAGAAAUCUUCUGAGUUAAUACCUCGGGAGGAUGACGGUACCUGAAGAAUAAGCACCGGCUAACUACGUGCCAGCAGCCGCGGUAAUACGUAGGGUGCAAGCGUUAAUCGGAAUUACUGGGCGUAAAGCGUGCGCAGGCGGUUUUGUAAGACAGAGGUGAAAUCCUCGGGCUCAACCUGGGAACUGCCUUUGUGACUGCAAGGCUUGAGUGCGGCAGAGGGGGAUGGAAUUCCGCGUGUAGCAGUGAAAUGCGUAGAUAUGCGGAGGAACACCGAUGGCGAAGGCAAUCCCCGUGGGCCUGCACUGACGCUCAUGCACGAAAGCGUGGGGAGCAAACAGGAUUAGAUACCCCUGGGUAGUCCACGCCCCUAAAACGAUGUCAACUGGUUGUUGGGAAGGUUCCUUCUCAGUAACGUAGCUAACGCGUGAAGUUGACCGCCUGGGGAGUACGGCCGCAAGGUUGAAACUUAAAUGAAUUGACGGGGUCAUAGCUGUUUCC